AACCGCCUAGAGGUAAACGGGUGGAUCCGCAAAGUCGGCCCGCGGAAUUCAGCUCGGAAGGCUGGCGCGGGCGGCGGGCUAAGAGAUCUGAUCGGACUCUCCCGUCGCUCGACCGCUGGUCGGCCGUGUGCACUUUCCGCGGGCAGAGCGCCACGACCGGUUCUCGGGCGGUCAGAAGGCGGCGAGGAAGGUAGGUGGGCUCUCGCGGCCCACUGUUAUAGCCUCGCCUGUCCCGACCCGCUCGGGGACCGAGGAGCCGCCGUCGGUCGCGGCCACUCCGCCCUCUUGGGGAGUUCGACUAGCAGAGACUGGGCAACCGUGUCUGCUGACUGCUCUCUUGGAUGGUCGGAGCGGGCCUGGCCGGCACAGGGUCGGUGGCGAAUCGGUCGGCCCUCCACCCGACCCGUCUUGAAACACGGACCAAGGAGUCUAACAUGCGCGCGAGUCGUUGGGUAGUACGAAACCCGAAGGCGAAGUGAAAGCGAGGGCGUGCCUCUGGUGCGCUCAGGUGGGAUCCCGCUCCCUACCAGGGGAGUGGGCGCACCGCCGGCCCGUCUCGUCCGCGUCGUCGGUGAGGCGGAGCAAGAGCGUGCACGUUGGGACCCGAAAGAUGGUGAACUAUGCCUGAGUAGGAUGAAGCCAGAGGAAACUCUGGUGGAGGUCCGCAGCGAUUCUGACGUGCAAAUCGAUCGUCAAACUUGGGUAUAGGGGCGAAAGACUAAUCGAACCAUCUAGUAGCUGGUUCCCUC
rnacentral:rRNA from 1 species